ACACAAGGCAAUCUAAUAGGAUGAUUCAAAGGCAAGACCAUCAAAUAUACAGGAUGUUUUAUUACAGAAUACUGAAGUGGCUGUGUUAAUGCAGCCAUGCUGAUUUAAAGGUAUAAGCAAACCAAGGUUCACAGAGACUUAAUACUUUCUUUUGUCCACUCACACAACUGGGAAACCAGGCAAGCUUUCAUACAACCAAGAUCUUCUUCAAACCAGAAGAAACCAUAAACUUCAAGCCACAACUUUACAGCUUCUCUUUCAUAUCCAGAAAAAGAUUUGUGUUUCGAAGAGCAAGUCUGCAUUUUUCCGACUACAUCAGCUGGGUCACUAAAAGAGCUCUUCAUCCGAAACAGACCUUAGCUGCAGCUCCUGGAAAUAAUGUGCUUCCCCAGGCUUUGCCUAUUGAUGAUUCACAGGUCUACAGCACAGUUCCCUGCAGCUGAAGGAGACUGAUAAGUAUCUGUCCGAAGAUUUUUUAAAUACUCUGGCAAAAGUUUGCUGACAGUUUAAACUGACCUCAAGGGAACUGCAUCAGCAAAAAACCUUAACCUUGGAAAUUUGGAAACUGCUGUUGAAUAAGUCCUCCUUUACGGCUAAUCCAAAACACCUGAGCUUCCUUCACAGAAAACUAGAUGCUGUGCCUGACUAGUAUCACCUGCCACAGGAGGGAACCCUGCAGAACCCUGUGGGCUCUAGGGCACAUUAAGCAGCUCCAUUGAAGUCAUAACAGUAAGCAUAUGCUUAAAUGCUUUUUCGGAAUUGUCCUGGAAAGGUCAGUACUUUGGAAGAUCAAGUCCAGAGUAUUUCAGUAUACACCGCUCAGGAGACGUGGGACAGCUGGUGGUGCACUUUCUGCGGAGAGCUUGGGUGAAGAUGGAAGGCAAGCCAUCUCCUUAACCUGCUUGCCAGAAACACAGAGGCAGAGAUACUAUUGUCAAUGCCACCAUUGCAGUGGUGGGAAGGGCCUCCAAACUGUGAUCUGGCCCUUAAAAUGAUCUCCUUCAGCCAACAAUGCUCCCUGUCCUAUCCAUCAAUCAGUAAGCCAAAAUGCUUGAUCCUGGGAAGAGUGCAAGAGGCCAAAUUCUGAGGAGGCCAAGAUGAGGUGGAUUAAAAACUGGCUGAACUGUUGGGCUCAGAGGGUUGUGAUUAACAGCAUAAAGUCCAGCUGGAGGCCAGUCACUAGUGGUAUCCCCCAGGGGUCAAUACUGUGGCCAAUACUGUUUAACAUCAUUAAUGACCUGGACAGAGUAUACCUUCAGCACAUUUGCUCAUGAUACAAAACUGGGAGGAGUGGCUGAUACAGCAGUUUGUUGCUUUGCCCUUCAGAGGGUCCCUGACAGACUGGAGAAAUGGGCAGAGAGAAACAUCAUGAAGUUCAAUAAAGAGCAGUGCAGAGUCCUGCCCCUGAGAAGGAAUAACCCUAUGCACCAAUACAGGGUGGAGCCAGCCUGCUGGAGAGUAGCUUCAUAGAGAAGAUCAUGGGGGUCCUGGUGGACAUUGAGUUGAACGUGAGCCAGCGAUGGGCCCUGUGGCAAAGAAGGUCAAAGGCAUCCUUGGCUGCAUUAGGAUUCCAGCAGGUGAAUGGAGGAGAUCCUUCCCCUCUACUCAGCACUGGUGAGGCCAUGUCUGGAGUGCCGUGUCAAAUUCUGGGCUCCCCAUAAAAGAAAGACAUAAAUUUACUGGAGCAAGUCCAGUGAAGGGCCACAAAGAUGACUAAGGAACUGGAGCAUCUCUCAUAUUGAAGAGAGGGUGAGAGAGCUGCAGCCAUUCAGCCUGGAGAAGAGAAGCCUGAGAGGGAUCUUAUUAAUGUGUAUAAAUACCUAAUGGGAGGAUGUGAAGAGGAUGGGGCCAGACUCUUCUCAGUGGUGCCCAGUGACAGGCUGAGAGGCAAUGGGCACAAACUGAAACACAGGAAAUUCCAUAUGAACAUAAGAAAACACUCUACUGGAAAGGUGGUUGAAUGCUGGAACAGGUUGCCCAGAGAGCUGUGGAGUCUCCAUUCUUGUAGAUAUUCAAAACCUGACUGGACAGGGUCCUGGAAAGCCUGCUCUAGCUGACCAUGCUUGAGCAGGGGUUUAGACCAGAUGAUCUGCAGACGUCGCUUCCAACCCCAACUAUUCUGUGAUUUGUGAUUUUAUGAAGAUCUGCUUUUAUUUUCUCUCAAAGAGUUCCGGAGAAGUUAGGGUAGACUUUUGCUAGCCAAGUACUGCAGUAUUGAACAUAGUAUGUAUAAUAUCAAUAUGCUGCCGUAGUCCAUUGAUUUAAGACAUCUUUAUGGGUCAGGCAGAGUGGAGAAUCUCUCUCUUCUCAUAUUCACUGCUAUAAUCAUGUAAUGGGAGACAAAGGCCAGAAGUGUCUAAUUCUAAUACAGAUGUUUACAAUAAAUCAUAUGAAUUGCCCCAGACAGAUUUUUCCCUCGUUAGCUAUAAAGAAUAACAUAGCAUUGACAAAACCUUUUCCCCAUUUCACCCCAAAUCUGCUACUAUAGUAUGUUAAAUUAUAUGCUGGAGAAGAAUGAAUUAAGUAAUGGUAACUUGAUUUAAAAUUCAAACUAUGCUGCUUUUCUAUACUAGCAAUAGUCACAGGAGCAAACAAUGAUUUCCCAGUGUUACUGACUUUGAGUAGUAGCUUGAAUAGACUUAUUGAUAUAAACGGGAUCAAUCAUGCAAUAUGGUAUGAAUUGUCUUAUGAUCAGGUAUUACAUUAGGUUACUCAUAAAAUAUUGCUCAGUUAUAGCUAAGAAUAAGAUACUAGUAUUCAUUUUUGCUGGUUUAGUCACCCUUUUAGGAGGAAUGACCCUCUGAAUCAAGCUUCUGCUGAAGUAAGGGCGGUCAUUAAGCUAAAGAUGGUUUUCCCAUAUGCCCAGAGGUAAUCUUAGGUUUUGAAUUACAAAUUCGGAUCUCCUUGGGAGAAACUAACUUUUUAAAAUAGUAUUUAAACAUAAAGGAGAACAGGCAGACUCCCUAGCUCACCCACUUGAGUCGGUCACAAAAGAUCUUCCGCUUGCUGGAAGACAAGGAUUGCACCCAGGUUUUUCACAGACUCAUCGAGUGCCCUUAUCACCAAACUGCUCGCUGUUGCUUGCAGCUCUUGCUCACAGCAAAUUUCGUUACAAACUGUUUUGUUUCUAAGAACUAUUUGUCUAAGAAACAGACAGUGUUUUUCAACAGAAAAUUAAUUAGCACAAUUUUUGGAACCUGCUCUAGUAAAGCUUAACAGUUCGUCAAGCUACAGGCUUCCAUUCUGAUCCCAGAUAUUAAGCCAGUCAGACAAAAGGCUUGAAAUCUGAUCAGAAGGCGUUUUGCUCAAAUUUCAGCUUUGUCUGACUAGUUCACUGAAGCAAUAGGUGUGGGUGUAAGUAUCCCCGUUCUGGGGGCAUGGCCCAUGUGGUACAGGGGGAUACAGUACAUCGCAUAUGCUCAUAAAGCCAAGAUAAUGUUUCAUUGUCUUUCAAGGAGUCCAAUUACAAAAAGCUGAGGAAACAACUCUGUUAUUCUUAUUUCUCUACAAGAUACCAGAAGAUAGGCUUGCCAAAGUCUUCAAAUAUAUCCUUAAAUCCAGAUGAAUUGAAUAGGCAGAAGCAGGUGUAUGAGAAUUUCAUUGAAUCAGAACUGCUAAAGCAGUAUAUUUAGAACAGACAAUAUUUGCAAUAUACAAAGAUUUAUUUUUCUAAAAUGACUGUUUCCACCAAAAGAUAAACAAUGUCUCUACACAGUCUGUAACAUGAUUUAUUAAAUACUGAGAAUAUUCCCCAGCAGAGCUUAUUGCACUGCACAGGAAAACAAGGAAAUGCAGAGACAUUGUUAUAAAAAUCCCAUUUGGAAAGAAUGCUUUAAAAUGAACACCUCAUUAAACCAAAAUGUCAGAAAUACUUACACUAAAAGGAAGAAGCCAUUACAUUUGUCUCAGAGACAUUACUAAUAACACUUUUACUGAGGCUUUUAGUAUUUUUUGCUUUCCCAUACCUAAGCAAAACACAAAACCUCUAACCUUCACAGUUCCCUCUGUCACAUAGAGCAUUGCAUGAAAAAAACGCAUUAACAAAGCAUUAACAAAGAUUAGAGCUAUUGGCCCAAACAAUACACACAUUUGUGGUGUCACUUGGAGUAGUGCUUCUUUUCAGUUUUUAGAGUAGGAGAGACAAUAAGGAAAUAUGCUUUACUGCCCCACAUUCAUCCAAAAAGAUAAUAACGGUAUUAAUUUUUGAUUGGCAGCCAUAAUUGGCCUGGAUCAUUGUUGGGAACAUGAUAAAGAUUCAGGAGUAUGAAAUCAACCUGCAUGAGGACAAAGCCAGAGCUUUUGUGAGUACGGGGGACGUUCUCCUGUGGACAACCUGGCAAUGAAUUCCAAUAACAUACGUUGAAAUGGGAAGGUGCAAUGGUAACCAACUGUCCCUUCAAACUCGGAAUGAACCACAAUAAUAGCAACCUCUAAAUAUGAGUUUGGCGAGGCCCUGGAAGAAAUGUCACAUACUAGAUAGGCUCAGAUGUGCUUUGACUGGAAGAGCGCUUCCAGCUUAGCACCACUAAACCCUGCUACAUUUGGGAAGCAGACGGGGAUAAACAGUCUGCCACUACCAUCUGGAACUGAACCCUUGAAUGAACAUAGGACUGCUACAGUGCGGUCACAGGGGAUAUGACCCCAUUGGUCAUGGGACCCAUAUGGGAUUGUUCAGAAAGUCUGCAGUCCACUUUCUAUGAUGCAAUUUUUGUACCUCUGGUUUCUCUGAAAGUGUCUAAAAUUGACCGGGCAGUGCCUUCUGAUCUUUUAACAACUUGGUAAUACAGUGUUACCAGCUGUGUAUAGCUAUAUUUGGAGUUUUCAUCACUGUGUUUCAAAGUUAAAAUAAUAAUAAUAAUAAUAAUAACCUCAACUACCCUCAGUAAACUGGUUUUCCUAGACAUGGAAUUUUCUUGACAAAUAUUUUUGAUGGAAGCAACACUUUUGUGCAGCAAGAUAGGAGAAUAAGCAAAAAUGGUCUUACUGCUUUGGCAGGAUGCCUGUCUGAUCCCUUCUCUUGCUUGGACAGCAACAGCCGAUAAAACAAGACUGCGAGUGCCACCAGCGUGCAUCCCCAGGGGCCCUGGCUUUGCUGGGCAGCACAGCCAGAAUGUGUAUGUGUGUGUGUGUGUGUGUGUGUGUGUGCGCGCGCGCGCACGCACAUGCGUGCAUGACUAGCUCUUUUUAGGACCAGAUAUAUAGGUGUGUUUAGAAAUUUAUAGGUGCUUAUUAACAUUUCUAAGUGUCUAGUAUUGUAUUUAUUUGUGGUAUUGUGUUUGUUCUGUUGUAUUGUCAAUAUUAAUCCUGAAUGUACAGUUCACUCAUUUUCAGUUAAUUAUGUGUUGCUAAUAAAUCAAUAAACUGCUUCAGUCCUCACUUGAUUUUAACUGUAUGAAUUAAGCAGUUUUUUUCCCCAUGAAAAAACUUUGUUGCCUUCCCUAGAGCAAUGGAGCAGGUAGCCAUGUAAGAUAGUGUGGAAUGGUCCAUGUCAGAAGGCAUCCUUGUCUUUCCUUGUCAUUCUUGAUAAUUCACAAUUAGCUUGUCCCAGUACUGCGUGUUGUACCCUGAAUGCGCGUCUUCAUGUCGUUUGACCUGUGCACAGUGCAGCCAGGAAACCAGGGCUCCUGUAAGAAAGACAGAUUACAUAUGGAAGUACCUCUUCUUGGCCAAGAAAUGGCUUGCACUGAAUUUGUUGUUCUCCACAGCUUGCAGGGUUGAUGCAUGGAAGAUCUGCACUUCCAUAAUCUUAGCGUUAUGGAGCUGUGACAAAUACCACCAUACGAAAGUAGGGCAAAUUAGAAUAUGCUGCAGAGCAUCAGUUCAUAGGCAGGCAUAGUCUGUUGCUGCCAUCCUGUUUCACAACGUGCAGAGAAAAAUCCCGGAGCAGGGCAGUACACAUGGCCACCAAGAGCAUCUGAACACAUUGAUGCCUGGCUAGCUCCUUGAGGGUAGAAAGGGAAUGGAGUACUAAAAGUCAGGAAAAAAUGGAAGAAAACACACUCAAAAGCUAGUUAUUCUAUGAAUCUCAUAGCCUUUUUGAAGUGAGCAAACAAUUUCAGAAAGCUCGUGCAGCAUGUUAACUUCUCUUGUUUUUCCAGAUUUUCUGGUGAUGCCGUAGAAGCCCAUUUUCUAU